GUGCGGCCUGAAAAAUAGGGCUGCGCCUUUGUACACAAUGACAAUAAUUUACGGCGCAGCCACGAUUUCCCUGGUGUUGGCGCAGUAUUCGCGCACCCCGGUCAAGCC
rnacentral:sRNA from 1 species